rnacentral:rRNA from 1 species
GCCAGCCCGCUCAAGAACUCAAAGGAAUUGACGGGGCCCGCACAAGCGGUGGAGUAUGUGGUUUAAUUCGAUGCAACGCGAAGAACCUUACCUGGUCUUGACAUCCCGGAGACCCUUAGGAAACUAGGGGGUGCUUCCAUCUGGAAGAAUCUGGAGACAGGUGCUGCAUGGCUGUCGUCAGCUCGUGUCGUGAGAUGUUGGGUUAAGUCCCGCAACGAGCGCAACCCUUGCCUUUAGUUGCCAGCAGUUCGGCUGGGCACUCUAAAGGGACUGCCGGUGUUAAACCGGAGGAAGGUGGGGAUGACGUCAAGUCCUCAUGGCCUUUAUGACCAGGGCUACACACGUACUACAAUGGCCGAUACAAAGGGCAGCGACACUGCGAGGUGAAGCCAAUCCCGUAAAAUCGGUCUCAGUCCGGAUUGGAGUCUGCAACUCGACUCCAUGAAGUUGGAAUCGCUAGUAAUCGUGGAUCAGCAUGCCACGGUGAAUACGUUCCCGGGCCUU